GUCUGCCUGAUUGAUGGAAUACCUCAGCCAGUGGUGUCAUGGUUGAAAGACUCAGUUAUUGUCAAGGAAAAAGAUGAUCAUCGUCUAAGACCAGAAAACAACAUUUUAACAAUAACAAAUGGAUCACAGGACUUGGCUGGAAUGUAUAUAUGUCACGUUGAAAACAUUGCUGGUAUUGCGCAAAAGAUGUUUGAGGUAGAAUUUUAUGAACCACCCAAAAUCCUGGAACAGAGCCCAACAAACAUAACUUUGAGAGAACGUGAUGACUACACCAUUCCUUGUUCUGCUGCU